GCUUCCAUAACCGCCAUCUUUGCUUCUUUCCUCGCCACCUUGUAGGUCUCCCUGUUCGCUCUCUGUUCUUCCUCGCUUGUGCUCCCUGCCAUCUUAGCAAACGCCGCUUUCUUCACCUCCACUUUUCCUUGGACUACAUCGUUCCACCACCAGUCACCCUAAUGUCUGCCUGAAUAGUCCUUGACUACCCCGAGCACAUCCCGUGCUACCUCCCUAACCAAGUUCG
rnacentral:lncRNA from 1 species